GAUCGAUGAGGAGAUUCAUCGUCAGCGUAUUCAGUAUUGAUGCAGGCUAUGAUGUGAUAAUAGAAUCCUCGUGGUCACUANAUUAUACUUGCUUGUAUCAUUUUGGCUGGGUAUGUCGGCGUGCACUUCUCCUCUAGUAGAACGUCGCAACCCGUUGGAUGUUYAUCUAUGGCUCAAAUGGYAGCCUUUGAUAAUUUUUUUUAAGACAAUUGAGGGAAGAUGGGUUGCGUUACGAUGUAAUCCCGCAUUCCCGGGACGUUCAU
rnacentral:rRNA from 1 species